rnacentral:rRNA from 1 species
UUGGAGGGCAAGUCUGGUGCCAGCAGCCGCGGUAAUUCCAGCUCCAAUAGCGUAUAUUAAAGUUGUUGUGGUUAAAAAGCUCGUAGUUGAACCUUGGGCCUGGCUGGCCGGUCCGCCUCACCGCGUGUACUGGUCCGGCCGGGCCUUUCCCUCUGUGGAACCUCAUGCCCUUCACUGGGUGUGGCGGGGAAACAGGACUUUUACUUUGAAAAAAUUAGAGUGCUCCAGGCAGGCCUAUGCUCGAAUACAUUAGCAUGGAAUAAUAAAAUAGGACGUGUGG